rnacentral:rRNA from 1 species
AGUGAACGCUGGCGGUAGGCCUAACACAUGCAAGUCGAACGGCAGCACAGUAAGAGCUUGCUCUUACGGGUGGCGAGUGGCGGACGGGUGAGGAAUACAUCGGAAUCUACUUUUUCGUGGGGGAUAACGUAGGGAAACUUACGCUAAUACCGCAUACGACCUACGGGUGAAAGCAGGGGAUCUUCGGACCUUGCGCGAUUGAAUGAGCCGAUGCCGGAUUAGCGAGUUGGCGGGGCAAAGGCCCACCAAGGCGACGAUCCGUCGCGGGCCUGAGCGGGUGAUCAGCCGCACGGGGACGGAGACACGGUCCAGAGUCCUACGGGAGGCAGCAGUGGGGAAUAUUGGGCAAUGGGCGCAAGCCUGAUCCAGCCAUGCCGCGUGGGUGAAGAAGGCCUUCGGGUUGUAAAGCCCUUUUGUUGGGAAAGAAAAGCAGCAGGUUAAUACCCCGCUGUUCUGACGGUACCCAAAGAAUAAGCACCGGCUAACUUCGUG